CCAAGUCCUCCACGCUCUUCUUCGGGAACGCGUUCAUCGUGUCUGCCAUCCCCAUCUGGUUAUACUGGAGAAUACGGCUUAUGGAUCUUCUUCAGUCUGCUCUUUUGUAUAGUGUGAUGACCCUAGUAAGCACAUAUUUGGUAGCCUUUGCAUACAGAAAUGUGAAAUUUGUUCUCAAGCGCAGAGUAGCACAGAAGAGGGAGGAUGCUGUUUCCAAAGAAGUGACUCGAAACUUUCUGAAGCUGAUAAUAGAAAGAUGUCUCUGAAGGAGAAAGAUGAAAAAAUCUUGUGGAAGAAGAAUGAAGUUGCUGAUUAUGAAGCUACAUUUUCCAUCUUCUGUAACAGCAUUCUGUUCCUGGUCUUGGUCACUGUUGCUUCCUUCUUCAUAUUGAAGAACUUCAACCCCACAGUGAACUACAUUUUGUCCGUAAAUGCUUCAUCAGGACUCAUCCCCCUCCUGUCUACUGGCUCCAAGUAGACCAUGUCAGCUUACCCCCUGGCCUUGUGUCUAUGGGUGGCCUGCGGUAUACGGAAAAGUAGCAGGGUAGUCAGGGUGGGAGACACACGAGAUGUUUUCACAGUC